rnacentral:rRNA from 1 species
UACGUAGGGUGCGAGCGUUGUCCGGAAUUAUUGGGCGUAAAGAGCUUGUAGGCGGUUUGUCGCGUCUGCUGUGAAAUCUCAAGGCUCAACCUUGAGCUUGCAGUGGGUACGGGCAGACUAGAGUGUGGUAGGGGAGACUGGAAUUCCUGGUGUAGCGGUGAGAUGCGCAGAUAUCAGGAGGAACACCGAUGGCGAAGGCAGGUCUCUGGGCCACUACUGAUGCUGAGAAGCGAAAGCAUGGGGAGCGAACAGG